CUAUGACUCCUACGGGAGGCAGCAGUGGGGAAUAUUGCACAAUGGGGGAAACCCUGAUGCAGCCAUGCCGCGUGUGUGAAGAAGGCCUUCGGGUUGUAAAGCACUUUCAGUAGGGAGGAAGGUAGUGUAGUUAACACCUGCAUUAUUUGACGUUACCUACAGAAGAAGCACCGGCUAACUCCGUGCCAGCAGCCGCGGUAAUACGGAGGGUGCGAGCGUUAAUCGGAAUUACUGGGCGUAAAGCGCAUGCAGGCGGCCUGUUAAGUCAGAUGUGAAAGCCCGGGGCUUAACCUCGGAAUUGCAUUUGAAACUGGCAGGCUAGAGUCUUGUAGAGGGGGUAGAAUUUCAGGUGUAGCGGUGAAAAUGCGUAGAGAUCUGAAGGAAUACCAGUGGCGAAGGCGGCCCCCUGGACAAAGACUGACGCUCAGAUGCGAAAGCGUGGGGAGCAAACAGGAUUAGAUACCCUGGUAG
rnacentral:rRNA from 1 species